GAAGACCUGUCCUUAGUACGAGAGGACCGGGAUGGACGUACCUCUGGUGUACCAGUUGUCCUGCCAAGGGCAUGGCUGGGUAGCUGUGUACGGAAUGGAUAAGCGCUGAAAGCAUCUAAGCGCGAAGCCAACUUCAAGAUAAGAUUUCCCACCGCAAGGGUAAGACCCCAGAAAGACUAUCUGGUUGAUAGGUCGAAGGUGUAAGUGCAGCAAUGUAUUUAGCUUAUCGAUACUAAUAGGUCGAGGACUUGACCAAU
rnacentral:rRNA from 1 species